UACAGAGGGGGCAAGCGUUGUUCGGAAUUACUGGGCGUAAAGGGCGCGUAGGCGGCCUUCUAAGUCGAACGUGAAAUCCCUGGGCUCAACCCAGGAACUGCGUCCGAUACUGGAAGGCUUGAAUCCGGGAGAGGGAUGCGGAAUUCCUGGUGUAGCGGUGAAAUGCGCAGAUAUCAGGAGGAACACCAAUGGCGAAGGCAGCACUCUGGGACGGUACUGACGCUGAGACGCGAAAGCGUGGGGAGCAAACAGG
rnacentral:rRNA from 1 species